rnacentral:pre_miRNA from 1 species
GAGUGGAUUGCAGCCAAGGAUGACUUGCCGGGAUGUUGUAGUCAAUGCAACGACUUAUCGGUAGGUCGUCCUUGGCUACAUUUUACUCUCUUCUGCUCAUGUAAGGCUCUAUAAGAUAUAUAUAUAAUUCGAGGUGAAGUCAGUAAUUGUUUCACAAAUUACAUCCAGUUGAAUUGCUCAUAAUUUGUCUAGAGAGUCAUUGCAUGAAGAGGUAGCGAGUGAAUUGCAGCCAAGGAGACUUGUCAAGAUGUUGCAGCCAAUGCAACGACUUAUCGGCAGGUCGUCCUUGGCUACAUUUCACUCUCU